GCGCCGGUGGUGCAAUGGUAUGGAGCAUUCCCGCCCGGUCAGCAGGAGGUGCAGGUCCGAAUCCCGCCUGGCACU
rnacentral:tRNA from 1 species